rnacentral:rRNA from 1 species
UACCCCGCAGCACAAGUGGUGGUCAUUAUUAUUGGGCCUAAAGCGUCCGUAGCUGGCCUGUUAGAUGCCUGGGUAAAUCGAUGCGCUCAACGCAUCGAACUCCGGGUAGACCGGCAGGCUUGGGACCGGGAGAGAUGCGAGCUACUCGAGGGGUAGGGGUAAAAUCCUGUAAUCCUUCGGGGGAGGACCAGUGGCGAAGGCGUCGCAUUAGAACGGCUCCGACAGUGAGGGACGAAGCCCUGGGGCGCAAACCGG